AAAAAGAGCAACCAAACUUAAAUGUUUAACACGAGAGGUGAGCAAUACAGGACUUUUGCAAGUCUGAGUGGUAGGUGGCUGCAGGGUGGGCAGUGAAGGUUGUCGACCAAAAGGGAGACCCCUGACUGUGGUGGCCCUCAGCAUAUGAGAAGACACCUUGACAUCAGGCUUGGCUGGAUGAAAGAAGUGCUCAGAAGCCCCAAAGUGAGGAAGACAAGAGACUCUACCACUGAGAUUCUCAAUGAAAUUCAUUUCUUUGGAAGGAAAAUGACACUGAGGUCAGGAAGUUUGGGGAACUCUGGGAUAAGGCAAGUUAGACAGUUUCUUCACAGCAGAAUUUCUCAGAACCCAUGGAAUGUGGACGCUCCAGGAGGCUGACAUGGUCUGCACUGUUUCCUGAACUUAUUGAACCACUGAUGGCCCUGCUUCAGACCCAUCUUUUUUAUUUUCCACAAAGCAACCUGUGGAUCCAGUGCUUGGUAGAACACACCUUGGGAAACAGUCUGACGCCAUAAAGGGAAAAUGGUUUUCACAGAAAGGGCAGAGAAAUAGGACAGAAAUGAAGGGAUGAGGGAGAGAAGAAAAAAGGGGAGGAGAAAAAGCAAGAAAAUAAAAAGGGAAAUUAGAAAAAAGGACAGGACAGAAACCAAAGGAAAUGAGAAAAAGAGAGGGAGAAAACAAAAGAAUAAGGAAAAGAAAUUAGGAGCAGGAAAAGUAUAAUAGAGAAGUCCCUUAUUACUAACCAUGUCCUCAUUGCUUUUAGGAGAGAUGUAGGUGCCUGUCAUCUCUUCCAGGCACAGGGCUCCUACAGGCCACCCCAAACCUCAGCCUGUCACUCUUCAAGGGGCCCAGAAUAUGAUGCUACACCAACAAAAGAAAGAACCUGAUGUCAUCUAGUCCGAUACCAACUGUCCAGAGAAGUGUUGGGAUAUGUGUCUCACUGAAGGCCACACAGCCAUUAGGGGCAGUCAGAUCUCCUGGCAUCUGGGCCAGAAAAUAUCCUGAGCACUUCAAACAUCUUAACAAGAACAAGCUGACUAUUCAUAACCAGGAUCAAGUAAGAUCCCUGGAGAGAUGCCCUUUCAACCCUCCAUCUCUGCUAAAUGCCUGUUGGAUCCCAGCAGUGGAGCCUGCUAGAUGGUUGGAUUUACUUAGAACAGACUAUUAUGAAGAGAGACGGUGCCUGGAGCAUACACACAGAGAGACACUGGGAAAAUACCCUUGUGCUGGAGCAACAGGGUGAAAACAUCUGUGUUCCUGAGCUGCUUAGGAAGAUAAAGUUGCUGGGGAGGCAGCUCGGGUCCGGGAGGCAGGAGGAGCGGGGAGUGGUGCAGUCCAAGGGUGUGCAUGUUUGGAGCAGAUGGAAAAUGUACCCCCAUAACUGGAGAUGUAAGCAAAUUGUAAUUGAUUUUACAACAGAGACAGAGUGAGAGGAAAGGUACAAAGGAGACCGAUGCAGGAUUUGAGUGAAAACCUGGGGAGUGGCUAACAGAAGAGAAACAGCUUAAAACACCAAAGUAGGAUUUAUUCCCGAGAGCAAGAGGUAUUCACAGCGGUCUUGAUUCUAAGUGAAUUUAAUAUCUGCCUGCCAGUGAGGAGACCCAAGCUCUAAAAGUCUAAGCUGGCCAGUCAUCCUCUUCCCAUCCCCUAGUUUGGCUUCUAAACUGAACAACAUGCCCUUUCCCCAUCCCUGCCAGGCCUCAAAAAUUAUCAAGCAAUUUUUUCCCCUUUUACUUAUAAAAGCAGCUUCCUAGAAGAAAUCUUUCUGGGUUGCUGAAACCAGAGAUUCUGACUUGGAUCUGCCUCAACCUGGAAUUCCAACAGUUACUCCUUUCCCAACUCCAGCCUGAAGUUUCCCACACAUCCCCGUCCUAGCGGCCACACAUCAUUUCGGUUUUGCCCAUGACUGAGGGUGAGUCAGCCGGCAAACACUCCUCGCCCCUUAGGAUUCUCCAAAUUAGAUCUAGGCAUCCACAUCCUUGGGGCAUUUGCAGAUCACAUGUAUGGAUGCACCAAGCUAAGAGGAUAACUGCUGUGAUUGAUGAUAGGAUCAAGAUUUUAAAUGAAUUCCAUAAGCUGAAAGAUGGUCUCAAAUCAAUAAGAAUGCACCAGGAAAAAAUGCAAAGCACUGCAUUUAGACCCAACAAUCAAUUGCACAAAUAUAGGAUGGAAAAUAAAAUAUAGACCUAGAAAACA
ensembl:lncRNA